rnacentral:rRNA from 1 species
AAGCAACGCGAAGAACCUUACCAGGUCUUGACAUCCCGAUGCUAUUUCUAGAGAUAGAAAGUUACUUCGGUACAUCGGUGACAGGUGGUGCAUGGUUGUCGUCAGCUCGUGUCGUGAGAUGCUGGGUUAAGUCCCGCAACGAGCGCAACCCCUAUUGUUAGUUGCCAUCAUUCAGUUGGGCACUCUAGCGAGACUGCCGGUAAUAAACCGGAGGAAGUGGGGAUGACGUCAAAUCAUCAUGCCCCUUAUGACCUGGGCUACACACGUGCUACAAUGGUUGGUACAACGAGUUGCGAGUCGGUGACGGCGAGCUAAUCUCUUAAAGCCAAUCUCAGUUCGGAUUGUAGGCUGCAACUCGCCUACAUGAAGUCGGAAUCGCUAGUAAUCGCGGAUCAGCACGCCGCGGUGAAUACGUUCCCGGGCCUU